UACUCUUUCGCGAAGCGCCUCCGUGCCGGCGUUCGGUCCUGGUAUAUGUUUCGCCACCGUGCGGGAUGCUCGUCCGCUGGACUCGCCAACUGAAAAUUUCCAUUGGCGAAACAUUAUGGCCCGCGGUCCGGAGAAAACAAUGGUCCGUUCAUAAGUGAUGCAUUCGCUUCACCGGAUCGAUGGGCAUGACGAGGGUGUUCUACGAUCGAGACAAGCACUUACCAGAACUCGCUGGAUACUGAAAAUUUCUGAAUCUCCGUGGGCGACGACAGGUAGAGGCCGUGCCCUUUAUUGCUGAAGCAAAGUGUCUUUGCGAUCCUGUAAAAAAUGUAUUCGGACCGUUAUCGCAUUGUCGGCCAGCAUUUCGGAAAGCACAAUGAAAAAUAUGAACGUACCAGGGCGCAUUAUCAAAAAGAUAGCAGAUCCUUUUACGUUCGUGGGAUUAAAAAAAAAGAAAAAGAUCAUCGACUCGUCUAUCAUUACGACGAGAACAACGAUGGAAUAAUCUAUGAGAAUAUAAACUUGCACAAAGAUCUGCAGUCGAAUAAAUCUGCGCCCUGACGUGAACGGGAUUACGUUAAUUUGCGGAACGUUCGUAGAACGUACAGGAGGAGGAGGAAUGAGUGAUUAUGGUUGCGAGAUCAAUUUUGGUGUAACUCGAGCUAGCUUUUGUGGCGAGUACGAUAUCGCCGUGUGUACUAAACUGACGUAAAAUUAAGAGGAACGUAAAGGGGGAGAAAGGAGGAAAACGUUGUUAAACAUACAGACAUCUUAUGCAAAUGAAAAUACUAUCUAAACAAUGUUAUUCGUAAUGUCGCAAGAAUAAGUUUUAACACUGACUACCAGAGAUAACGACGAAAACUAAAACAAAGCCAACAAUAUAGUGUAAAAAGUAACAGAAAACGAGAAGUAACAUUGAUCAUUGGCCAAUUGUCAUACGUGUGUUUGUUUAGGUUGUCUUUCAUUGUUAAAUUAUAACUGCGAUUAGAAUCGAUUAUUGCCGGAAACGAUUCAAGAAAACAAAACAGCGAAUCACAUUUUCUAGACGUACGAUGUCGAGUUUCGAUCGAUUCCAUUGUGUCUUCUGAGAAUGUAUGAGAUGCGUCGGGGAAAUAUAGUUAAACAAUGCGAUUCUCUUCGGAAAAGUAGUAACCGUAUCGAGUUGUUUCGUACGACAAUAAAUAUAGCAUGCACGCAUGCACACACACAACAUGCAAGCACACGUUGCUGAUUCUCGAUACGAUAUGUAGACAGGCUGUCCCAAAAUCAUGGCACUUCCGGGAGACGAGAGAUUCCUGAGAUCGUUCGAAGC